rnacentral:rRNA from 1 species
UACGUAGGGUGCAAGCGUUGUCCGGAUUUAUUGGGUUUAAGGGGUGCGUAGGUGGCUUUUUAAGUCAUGGGUGAAAGCCCGCAGCUCAACUGUGGAAUUGCCUGUGAUACUGAGGAGCUUGAGUGCGGUUGAGGCAGCUGGAAUUGGUGGUGUAGCGGUGAAAUGCAUAGAUACCACCAGGAACACCGAUUGCGAAGGUAGGUUGCUAAGCCGUAACUGACACUGGGGCACGAAAGCGUGGGGAGCUAACAGG